UACGGAGGGUGCAAACGUUGCUCGGAAUCAUUGGGCGUAAAGCGCACGUAGGCGGCCUUUUAAGUCGGAUGUGAAAGCCCCGGGCUCAACCCGGGAAGUGCAUACGAAACUGGCAGGCUUGAAUAUGGAAGAGGGUCGCGGAAUUCCCGGUGUAGAGGUGAAAUUCGUAGAUAUCGGGAGGAACACCAGUGGCGAAGGCGGCGACCUGGGCCAAUAUUGACGCUGAGGUGCGAAAGCGUGGGGAGCAAACAGG
rnacentral:rRNA from 1 species